CUCAGAGAGGUCACAAAACUACUAUGCGGCAAAGUCAGGAUUUGAACCCAGGCAGUUGGGCUCAGAAUCCAUGUUUGUUUGUUGCACUCUGCUACUCAUUAAGAUCAAGCUGAGUCUUGAAUGUUUUGGUUUUUAACUACAAACCCCUAAAAGCUACAUUGCAGAUGAGGAAAUUAAAAGGGCAUCUCAAUGGGCUUCUCUGAAUGACAAAGGCCACUUUCUUUGACCUCUGCAACAUCACAGCUCUGCCUGUGUCUUGUUCACAUUUUGGGAUGGUAAUCAACCAUGACGUCUCCUUGCUCCUGGUCUGAAGAAAUAGAGAAACAGACCCAGGAAUCAGGUAGAAAUUAAAAAUAUAUGCUUUCUUAGUGAGGUUUAUUGGAAAAUAUGAUCUACAGC